rnacentral:tRNA from 1 species
GCCGGGGUGGUGGAAUUGGUAGACACGCAAGCUUCAGGUGUUUGUGGGGGAAACCCCGUGGAGGUUCAAGUCCUCUCCUCGGCA